UACGUAGGGUGCAAGCGUUGUCCGGAAUUAUUGGGCGUAAAGAGCUCGUAGGCGGUUCGUCGCGUCGGCUGUGAAAACCCGGAGCUCAACUCCGGGCCUGCAGUCGAUACGGGCGGACUAGAGUUCGGCAGGGGAGACUGGAAUUCCUGGUGUAGCGGUGAAAUGCGCAGAUAUCAGGAGGAACACCAGUGGCGAAGGCGGCUC
rnacentral:rRNA from 1 species